CGCAACUCUCAGAAUGGCCACAAAGGGGCGCGAGUCUCAGACUGGCCGGGAAGGAGCGUAAAUGGGCUCCGAUGGCCUCGGGCGUUGGUUACGGGGUUGGGUUAGCCCUGCGGUACAAACAAACAAAGCAAAGCUAACCCAACCCCGUAAGCAAGGCAAAGCUAAAGGCAAUUUGGCUGAGAUCAAUUGUUUGCAAAGCUAAAGCCAAUUUGGGCAAGAUCAAUUGACUGCACCUGCCAAAAUCGGCGCAACUCUCAGAAUGGCCACAAAGGGGCGCGAGUCUCAGACUGGCCGGGAAGGAGCGCAAAUGGGCUCCGAUGGCCUCGGGCGUUGGUUACGGGGUUGGGUUAGCCCUGCGGUACAAACAAACAAAGCAAAGCUAACCCAACCCCGUAAGCAAGGCAAAGCUAAAGGCAAUUUGGCUGAGAUCAAUUGUUUGCAAAGCUAAAGCCAAUUUGGGCAAGAUCAAUUGAUUGCAAAGCUAAAGCCAAUUUGGGCAAGAUCAAUUGACUGCACCUGCCAAAAUCGGCGCAACUCUCAGAAUGGCCACAAAGGGGCGCGAGUCUCAGACUGGCCGGGAAGGAGCGCAAAUGGGCUCCGAUGGCCUCGGGCGUUGCCAAUUUGGUUGAGACAAAUUAUUUGUAAAGCUAAAGCCAAUUGGGUUGAUGCAAAAUGACUGCACACGCUGAAAUCAGUGUGACUCUCAGCAUGGCCGUGAGUCUCAAACAGCCUGGAUGGAGUGCAAAUGGUCUCUGUCCAGCUACAGGAUGUCAGUUACAGGAUUAUGGUCAGCCACGCUAGCACACUCAAAGCAGUGACCCAACCCCAUGAUUGAGGCAAAGCCUUGGAUGUGCUAUCCCUUGAAAUUCUCUCAAAGAUUGCAGCCGGCUACUUGGACGGGUACAUUGCUUGCUAGAUGAAGAAGUAGCUGAACCGGCUGGCCUAAUGAGUGCUGCUCCAUUGUGUUAAAAGCAGCUGGUAUGCCAUCCUGAGUGCUCUUCAGGCCUGUUCUGUCCAAUAUCUUCAUUGAAGACCUGCCUGAGGGCAUGGAGUGCACCUUUGGUAAGUUUGCUGAGGGCAUUGCAUCAGAUUAGCACUAUGUUUGGAGUUCAGAGCUCAUUAGGGUUGGGGUGAAGGUAUUGGGGUUAGCUUUAUUAGGGUUAUGCUCAAAGGGACUGUUAGGGAAGGCCAAGGCAAAGGCAACAACACCCAAGGAAACACCAAAACCGAGGGCAAAGGCAGAGACAACACCCAAGGGAAGGCAACGUCAAAGGCACAGGGAAAGCAAAGGUAUGGAGAAC
ensembl:lncRNA